GGUGGAUCGAACAUUAGUAGAGAAGCGUGUGAGCCAGCUGCCAAGAAAAGCCGCUAUUGCUUCAUAAGUACCCGUACCGUAAACCGACACAGGUGGAUGAGGAGAGAAUCCUAAGGCCGGCGGGAGAAGUGUUGUUAAGGAACUCGGCAAAAUGACUCCGUAACUUCGGGAGAAGGAGUGCCACAGAGAUGUGGCCGCAGAGAAAUGGCCCAAGCAACUGUUUAGCAAAAACACAGGUCUAUGCAAAACCGAAAGGUGAGGUAUAUGGGCUGACGCCUGCCCGGUGCUGGAAGGUUAAGAGGAGAGGUUAGGGCAAUCGAAGCUUUGAAUUUAAGCCCCAGUAAACGGCGGCCGUAACAAUAACGGUCCUAAGGUAGCGAAAUUCCUUGUCGGGUAAGUUCCGACCCGCACGAAAGGCGUAAUGAUUUGGGCACUGUCUCAACAACACACCCGGUGAAAUUGAAAUACCAGUGAAGAUGCUGGUUACCUGCGCCAGGACGGAAAGACCCCAUGGAGCUUUACUCCAGUUUGAUACUGGGAUUCGGUACUGUCUGUACAGGAUAGGUGGGAGGCUAGGAAAUGGUGACGCCAGUUGCCAUGGAGCCAACCUUGGGAUACCACCCUUACAGUACUGGGUUUCUAACCUGCAGCCGUGACCCGGCUGGGGGACAAUGUCUGACGGGGAGUUUGACUGGGGCGGUCGCCUCCGAAAGAGUAUCGGAGGCGCUCAAAGGUUCCCUCAGAACGGUUGGAAACCGUUCGAAGAGUGCAAAGGCAGAAGGGAGCUUGACUGCGACACCGACGGGUGGAGCAGAUACGAAAGUAGGACUUAGUGAUCCGGUGGUAUAAAGUGGGAUUGCCAUCGCUCAACGGAUAAAAGCUACCCUGGGAUAACAGGCUUAUCACUCCCAAGAGUUCACAUCGACGGAGUGGUUUGGCACCUCGAUGUCGGCUCAUCGCAUCCUGGAGCUGUAGCAGGUUCCAAGGGUUGGGCUGUUCGCCCAUUAAAGCGGUACGCGAGCUGGGUUCAGAACGUCGUGAGACAGUUCGGUCCCUAUCCGGCGUGGGCGUAGGAUAUUUGAGAGGAGCUGUCCUUAGUACGAGAGGACCGGGAUGGACAAACCUCUGGUGUAUCUGUUGUUUUACCAAAGGCAUGGCAGAGUAGCCAAGUUUGGCAGGGAUAAACGCUGAAGGCAUCUAAGCGUGAAGCCCCCCUCAAGAUAAGAUAUCCCAUCUUCGGAGUAAGACCCCUUGAAGACUACAAGGUUGAUAGGCUUCAGGUGUAAGUGUGGUAACGCACUCAGCUGAGAAGUACUAAUAGGUCGAGGACUUACCAA
rnacentral:rRNA from 1 species